rnacentral:rRNA from 1 species
GACGGAGGAUGCAAGCGUUAUCCGGAAUGAUUGGGCGUAAAGCGUCCGCAGGGGGCAGUUCAAGUCUGCUGUCAAAGACCGGGGCUUAACUUCGGAAAGGCAGUGGAAACUGAACAGCUAGAGUAUGGUAGGGGCAGAGGGAAUUCCUGGUGUAGCGGUGAAAUGCGUAGAGAUCAGGAAGAACAUCGGUGGCGAAGGCGCUCUGCUGGACCAUAACUGACACUCAGGGACGAAAGCUAGGGGAGCGAAUGGG